rnacentral:rRNA from 1 species
AUUGAACGCUGGCGGCAUGCUUUACACAUGCAAGUCGAACGGCAGCGCGGGGCCACCUGGCGGCGAGUGGCGAACGGGUGAGUAAUAUAUCGGAACGUACCCAGAAGUGGGGGAUAACGUAGCGAAAGUUACGCUAAUACCGCAUACGAUCUACGGAUGAAAGUCGGGGACCGCAAGGCCUUAUGCUUUUGGAGCGGCCGAUAUCUGAUUAGCUAGUUGGUGAGGUAAAGGCUCACCAAGGCGACGAUCAGUAGCUGGUCUGAGAGGACGACCAGCCACACUGGAACUGAGACACGGUCCAGACUCCUACGGGAGGCAGCAGUGGGGAAUUUUGGACAAUGGGCGCAAGCCUGAUCCAGCAAUGCCGCGUGAGUGAAGAAGGCCUUCGGGUUGUAAAGCUCUUUUGUCAGGGAAGAAACGGUAGAGGCUAAUAUCCUUUGCUAAUGACGGUACCUGAAGAAUAAGCACCGGCUAACUACGUG